AGACGCUGGCGGCAGGCCUAACACAUGCAAGUCGAGCGGCAGCACGGGUACUUGUACCUGGUGGCGAGCGGCGGACGGGUGAGUAAUGCCUAGGAAUCUGCCUGGUAGUGGGGGAUAACGCUCGGAAACGGACGCUAAUACCGCAUACGUCCUACGGGAGAAAGCAGGGGACCUUCGGGCCUUGCGCUAUCAGAUGAGCCUAGGUCGGAUUAGCUAGUUGGUGGGGUAAUGGCUCACCAAGGCGACGAUCCGUAACUGGUCUGAGAGGAUGAUCAGUCACACUGGAACUGAGACACGGUCCAGACUCCUACGGGAGGCAGCAGUGGGGAAUAUUGGACAAUGGGCGAAAGCCUGAUCCAGCCAUGCCGCGUGUGUGAAGAAGGUCUUCGGAUUGUAAAGCACUUUAAGUUGGGAGGAAGGGCAGUUACCUAAUACGUAUCUGUUUUGACGUUACCGACAGAAUAAGCACCGGCUAACUCUGUGCCAGCAGCCGGGNUAAUACA
rnacentral:rRNA from 1 species